CGUCCGACGAUCUACACCGAACGGCGAUCGAUCUAUAUUAAACGCCGAUUGAUCAAUACUAAACGGUGAUCUACACUGAGAUUACAACACAGCCGAUUCGGAAAGCUGCAGAGGUUAUAUUGUCUCCAUUUGACCUUUCUUGCCAGACAAAUGGGACCGCUUGGUUGUCUACCAGAAGAAUUCUACUCCUUCCUCAUCGAAGUAGCUGUGCAUCCUCCUAGAAAUUUCCAACAUCGGUGCUUCAUAUCGUUGUUGUGCUGGACACCUGUGCUGACCUCUUCAUCAAUUCGUGCCACUUGUACCGCUGCUGUCGAGGCGGUGGCUUCUCACCCAGGCUUGUUCCUGAAGUCCUAAGCUAUUAAGAGGUGUAAAUUGUUCAAUUUCAUUGCUGCAAAAUCACUAUCAGUUUUAUCAAAGAUACAGAAAAGGUAUGCUCUUCUUCCAUUGCCAUUUUUCAGUUGUUGUUAAAUGUAAAACAUAUAUUCAUUCUUCCAUUGUCACUAUUGUUGUUGUUGGUAGUGUAUUUGUUGCUAUUUUUUUGGUCUAUGCUUGUAACUGUUGUUGUUUUUCAUUCUCUUCCUCUUGUCUUUUUGCAAUUAUUUCUAACUUGUUUA